ACCCCUACCCGCGCGCGCGGCGCGUGCGCGCUCCCGGCCCCCGCUCCCAGGGCACGAGGUGGCCGGGAGCGAGGGCUGGGGCUUCUCUGUCCGGCGGGUGGAGCCGGGAGGGCAGCGGGGAGCGGUGCCCCCCCCCCCGAGACACACACACACACACACACACACACCGGCCCCGAAAAAGGGCAGCGUAGCGCCCCGGCACAAGCGGGACAAGGCAAAGCUGUCUGUCCCAGCAUCACUCGGCGUUCCGGGUAACAUAAGCACACCUGCGUUUCCUCUUAACAGACUUUCCUCUGUUAAGGCCUACAGAUAAAUCUGACUUCAUCCCCAGAACAGUUAUCAUAAGAACAGCACCAUUAUACAGAGGCAUAGAUUUUCCCUUGUCUCACUUGACUUCAGCCUGCGUCUGGAAAAAAAAUCUUUUCCUCUGACUUUGCAUGGUUGAAAGUCUUCAUCAACAGUGUCACUGGAGAUGAAAAACCAGGAAAGGAAAUACAGUCAUGAAUUUGGACAUAAUGUGGCUGGAUCUAAUUUCAUGUACAUCGUGUAGCUAGACCUACUCUCAUGGACAUCAAAUCUGUGUAGAGCUUUCCAGUAGUUUUGGAAGAUGACUACUCAUAUGGUGUCAUAAAAACUGUAUACACCUGCUGAAGUAAGAGAUGGAAGAGAGUAAAAGGAGAAAGGAAAGGACAAAAAGACCAUGAAGGAAAACACCGCAGUAGCCACGAUGCUGGUAGAGAAAUGACUUAAAGCAGCAAAAUGGAGCCUGGUAGCCAAGAAGACCAGACAAGGAGGCAGUUAGUGGAGAUGCUGAGCAGUUUUUCAGAAAGCCACUCAGGAUGAGAUGAUACAGGAAAAAAAAGGCACUGCUCUGUCUGUUGGCAUGAUGUUUUGAUGAAAGAAAAAAAAAACGAGAGAAAGCAACUUUUUUUUAACAAAGUUUGUAUUAGAAUUGUAUAGCUGCAACAAAAUGCAGAGCACUGAACAGUAUGAUACAAGUCUAAGUGAAACUUAAGGAGCAAACUGGUACACUGAAAGUGGCAUCAGUAUUAAAUUCUUCUUCCCUUUAAUGAACUGGGUUUCAGGUAUUGCUUCAAGGUACGUGUUUUCUGUGAUAAACCAUGCUGAGUAGUUGAAUUUAAAUCUGUUUUUGACACAGCGUGUAAAUAAAAUGUUUGUUGAAACAAUAUAGGUUAUCUCCACAUACAGCUGUAGCCAUUCAGAACCUGAUGCAGACCUUGUUGAAAUUACUGAAAAGCUUUUCAUCGACUUCAGUGGGUUUUGGAUCAAGCUUUCAGAUGUUAGUGAGAAAGAGCAUAACACUUAGAUAGAUUGAUUGCCAGUGUCAGGUACUAGCACUCUCUACACAUGGUUGCUGAAAGCCUCAUUUCAUAAGAACAUUUGUCUUUGAGACUGUGUUUUGGGGAUUGUGAGCUUGCUUGAACAUUAGAAUGUCACAUUCCAGCAAAUAAGAAAAUAUUCCUGUGGGUGAGGGUGAAUCAACUCAUGUAUCUGCCUUUGUUAGUCACCAAGAAGCUGUCUGGGUGCAAUGCAGUCAGCUCUUUACAUUUAGAAAAGAAACUAGUAAUAAAUGCAAAACAGGUCAUCCUUCCCCCAUCUGUUUCAGUAAAGAUAGCAGAAAUAGUUCUAUUUUAAAAAUAAACAAAAAACAAGGAGUGGGAGUCAGCAUCCCCGUAGGAGUGCAGUGCAUUUUUUUCAGAUUUGUUUCAUCUUCUAAAAAUAAAAUAAAAAUGUUUGUCUUUCUAUUUGUUCGAAGAAUGACAUGCAGUCUUAGGUAGCUUUUUGAUAAUAUUAGUUUUCAUCUCUCAUAUUCAGUGUCUUCUACAAUGCAGAUUUGUGAUCUCUUCUUUUUAUUCUAUACUUAUUAGGUGUGUGAGUUUGGUUCCUUGCAUGUAGUAACAUAUAUACAUAUUGCCUUCAACUCUUUUACCUUUUUGUUCCCUCAGUCUGGGUGAAAGAGAAAGUAGCCUAAUGAAUGUGUUGUUUAUAACUCUUCUGCCUCAUAAUACUCUGCCAGUUGCCAGUCCUGUAAACCCUUUUUUUUCUGCAGAAGGACCAGGAAUAUUUUCUAGACUAGCUCUAUUAGAAGACUGGUAAUAUAAAACACUUUUAUUCCUCCUCUCUUCAGGGUAUUAUUUUCCUUGUGAAAUCAGUUUUGUAGUCAUUUACCACCCACUUGUCAAACAAACUCUGAAUUUAGUAAGAGAUUUGCUUGGAUAAGGACUAUGAGGUAGUUGAUAGUUGGUUUAGGUUAUAACCUGUGUUUUUAUAGCAGUUUUUAUUACCUGUUUCUAUGGUGGACAUUGUCCAUUGGGCUCAUUAUAGCAGUGCUUCUGGAUUUUACUGAAAGCCACAACUCUCAUUGGUCCUCACAUUUGAUUUAUUCAGGUUUUGUCUUCUAAGCAAAUAUAUGAAGGCUUGAGUUGGAAUGUAAUGCACAUCCAUAUUGCUGUAUGUUCUUUAGUUCCUAUCAGCUCAACAGUAAGUCUUCAUUUUUCCAUGGUGUUCAGCAAAGCAGACAGCUCCAUGGAAAAGAGAGUGAAUAGAUGCAAUACCCUGACACUGAUUUACAGUACCACUGGUUUUCAAGGACUGGCAAUUAGGAGCAUUUUGGCAUUUAGAUUCUCUGCUUGAGUGCAGCUAUCCCAAAACAAGACACAGAUUUAUCAUAUCGUAUUUUCUGUCUCAAAGACAAGUACUGUUGGAAGUAUCUGCCAUAAUCAGGUAGGAAAAAAAUUCCACAGAUUCAUCAGAUUGUGGCUCACCUUUUGGGCAUCUUCUUCACUGUUGAGAUUAUAUUUUAUUUAGCAGGUAUUUAUCAGAUUAAGUGCUCUUUCUUUAGGUGCUCUUUGGUUUCCUUGAUACUUCAGCUAUCAUUUUCUCUGAGGCUUUGGCUUCAAAUGUUUAUUUAUUAACUGCAGAUAAUAUCUGACUGUGAUAGUGAUUUCACUUAUAUGACACUUCUUCUCUAGGGAUGCUACUGAAAACAUUCCUUAGGCUAUCAAACAGCCAUGAGAUAAAAAUGAGUUCUUGCAGCUAACAUGAGGAUAUUCUUCUCAACAGACAAGGUAUAAUGCUGAGGGAUGGGUGUGCACCCACACGCCUUAACAGUUUUCAGAGUAACAGCCCUCUCCUUCUUUAGCUUUCUUCAUUUUGUAUUUGUUCCUUAAAAUAAUCAUGAGGAUAUUAAGAAAAAAACAGUGAAAUAAUAAAUUGGUGGAUCCAACUGUCUAUUGAAAAGAGAGUUAGAGAUGACUAAUUUCAGGAAAUCAAACAAUUUACUUAUUUGUCAAUGUCUGAUUUUGGAGCUUAAAUUCAGUAACCUAGUCAAAAAAAUGGCCAUCAGUCAUUUAGUUCCCCUUCUGAAUGUUAUUUUCUUCUCUUUCUCUCAUGGUAAGUUCACAGAGUAAAAGCUGAUUGUGAGAAAACAUUAAAAUGGAAAACAUUUUGACUAAUAAUGUGAUUUCCAAUGAUUUCCAAUCUUCUGAAAUAAUUUUAACCCUUAAGCUUUUUUCCAGAUCCAUGAUAUAGUCCUCCAGAAUUGCAAUGUUUGUAAAUGUUUACAGUUUAAGGUGUUCCACAGGGAGGUACAAACAAGUACAGCCAUGCUCUGCAGCCACCCAAGCUACUCAUGCUAUGUGGCUCAUGUACUUGGGAAAUGCAGAUGUAGCCUUUAGACCUUCUAGAGAUCAUUAUGCUGUGAUCAAAGUGAUAACGUUACUGAUGCAUUCCUGUAACAUUUUAGUAGUAAGUAGUGUCUUCUGCCUAAAAAGCGUGUAAUUCCACUGUGAAAAUCCAAGUCUUCUCUUUUAGAAAAUACUUGCUUAAGGGAUUCAAUAGGACCAACUGAUCAUUGUGAGCAGCGAUUAGUCUUUUUAAAGAUACAGCCACCUUACAAAGUAAGAAUUCUUUCCUAAAUAAAACCUAUUGACCUUCAUUUUACAGCAGCUUUUCUGGUAAAAAGAGACAGAAUUUUGAUCUGAAAGUGAAAAAAAUUGUGAAAACCAACACAGUCCUUUAUUUAAGCUAUAUGUCAGUAUAAUUUAUUGCAUAGUAGCAGGCAUAUUGUUACUGCUUAGUGAAAAGUACCCAAAGGCACCAUAGGAGGAAUCUCUUGUUGCAAAGUGUAAUGGUUUGAAGCAUUUCAUUGGAAUAGUCCCUCCCACCCCCACGUUUUAAUAUGUCUUGCUUAGAAUUGAAGUAAAAAUGCGAAUAUCUGUUGCUGCGUUCAAGGCCUACUACAUGUCCUUACAGUAUCACAAAUGAAAUAUGCCAUUACUUUUAGUGAAAAUAGUUCAUGUCGAGGGCUAAAGCCACUUGUGUGUUAAAUCAGUAAUAAUUUAAAAAUCACUUGUGAUGAGGGGAGAAAAAUAUGCAUUACUAAGGGAAUAUAUGUAGAGCCAUAUGUCAUUUUUAUGGACAUGCCUAUACCCUCCUGUGAACUUUCAAAAUUUCAUUGUUUCAGGUAAUAACCAAAACAUUUCAAUCAAGCAAGUACCUAUUUGUAUGGGGGAACUGCCACCAAUCAUUCUUUGUGGAAGAUGUUGUUCUUAGCAAAUCUCUACUUCUUCCAACAUGAAGUCAUUUUCUUAAUAUUGCUUGAGUGGAUAGAUAAGUCAAAGAAAUUGCAAAGCAAGUUCCUUAAUUUUGCAAGAGAUAUCCUCUUGGUACUAGAUAAAUUUAUGGUGACUUUGAAACAAUGUAUUCUUUUACAGCUUUAAAUAGAAAUACAUCCCAAGCACUAUGGAAAUUGAGAGCAAAGAGGGAGAAAGUUUAGUUUAAGGUCUAAUUAAUUCAAUAUAAGAUUAACUCAGAAUUUUAUACUAUAAUCAAAUUUAUAUCUUGUACAAGGUCAGCAUGUGGCAGAAAACAGAGUUGGAGGAAAUUAUAACAAUGACAUCCUGGUUGCUGACCUAGGGACAAUUUGUAAUUGCAAAUAUUAAGCACUGUCUGCUUUUGUUGAAACACAUGUGCUUUGGAUUUAUUAGUAUUAUAUAUGUUUAAGUUUAUUCCAGCUAGUAGUUGUAGAGACUGAUGGUGAAAGAUCAGCAGGAAGUUCAAGUACAGAAGCUCAAGCUUAUCAAACAGCUUGUGCAAGAUCUACUCUGUCUGGGAGCUGACUACAAGGGUGGUUUGGAAUGAAGACAUCAGUCUUUAUGUAGUGGACACAAAAAUAACAGCUGUGAUACUAAAUAGGAGGCCUGUAAGAAGCUGAUGUGAAUGAUCAGGGGUGACACAUGGAUAAUCCACAGAAAGUAAACACAUUUGAGUGCUGAGACUGAAAGGUAUGAAGAAUUGGGUUGAAGGAGAUGGAAAGUAAAGGAGAAGGGGAGAAAAGCAAAAAAAAUUAAUAAAAAGUAGGGUUAUGAUCUGAAACUCAAUUCAAACCCCUUAUGCACUAUGUGGUAUUUCAUAUGCCGGCACAAAUUUAAUAUAGUUAGCUGGAUCCCAUAAGAACAUUCUGAAAGAAUCUGUUUCUAAAUUUAAUUUGCUUUGCCGAUUGGUACAAAUGUUUGAGGAAAAAUAAGCGUGUGGAAUAUUAAUGGGAAAAAUCCAUGUAUAUAUGAGAGUUCAUUUUGAACAUAUUUUCAAGUCAGGGAAAGGAAAUACUGAUGUAGGAUGAUCUGACUAAAUUACCACAGUGCAACGCAGCUUAAACUGCAGAUAUUGGCUUAGAUAGAUUUUCACCGACUACAUUUAAUUUAUAAUACAUUUUAGGCAAUCAUUAUCUACAAACACAAAGAAAUGAAAAAUGGACAUACUAAUGGAGCAAAUGAUUUGCUGCAAAUUACCCAUUCCAGAUCAGAUUUUCAAAGGCUCACACAUGUCUAACACCCACGAAAGGCCAAAUUUUUCUAUUUUUAAAAUUAUUAUUAUUAUUGUUGUUGUUGUUAUAGUCAAAUGGUUAAUUCAGUUUGGUAAAACAUGGAAAAGUGGCUAGGAGAGUCCUUCUAAGUCUGUGAAAUCAUCUAGAAAACUCUUAUGAAAAAUUCUUCUUCUGCCUUAUGACCUGGGCACAUCAAGUGCUUUUUUUAGUGAAUACUAUUUAGUUUUAAAGAAAGGAAAAGUUUUUUUUUAAACUUGAGUUCAGUUCUUGAUACAAGAUGCUAAAUCUUUAUGAAGGUCAUAAGAAAGCAGUGGAUUAGCACAGACUGAGUAGUUAAUAUAACCUUCUUGUGUCACUUGGGGAGUACGCGUAGUUAACAGUGGGCACAAAUUGCUGCAUAAUUCAAACUGUCAAUUUUCAGAUCUGAAGCUAUGAAUUCUGUUGUCUGAAGAAGUUGUAUGUUCUAGAUUUUUAUUAUCUCUGUGGAGAUUUCUACCUGGAACCUUUUUGAAGGUCUCAGGAAAAAAAAAAAAAAAAGAUUUUUCUGUCCUCCCCUUUUUGUCACUCUGCAUUUUGCUGAUACUGAGAUGAAGUCACUUCAUCAAUAAGGCCUUUCAGAGAAAGGAGGUUAUAGCUGCUGUUUAUUUACUCUGAGGACUGGCCAAGUUAUCAUCUAACAAAGAUUAUUGCAUCUUUGUACAUCUGUGUUUAUACCCCUAAUAGCAUAGCUGCGUACUAUGCAAGGAAAUUGCAAGUAAAAUGGAAUUUUCAAGUUAUAUAAAUUCCCAUAUAUAUGUAAAUAUUCAUAACCUCACUUCGUGCUGCUACAACAAAUUGCAGUCAUUGAGAAAGCAUUUUUUUUGGUGGGGAUGGAAGUGUUGAUUUUUAAAUAUGUGGGCAGAAAGAGCUGACUUUAUCCAAUUUACAAAGCUCUCUUUAGGACAGAUUAACAAUUGAAAUCUAAAGUCAAUAUAGAUAACUCUGAGUCUUUCUGGAAACAUUUGAAUUCAGAUUCCCUUGCAGAAUGCAAAAAAAUUAGUAUAUUCUGUCUAGCUCUUUAUGGAAGAGGUGGAAACAAUGUGGUUUAUGCUGUUAGAUUGAGUGUUAUAAUUCAGCUGUGAAGUAGGACUUAUUUUCAGUUAUGUGAACACAGUAACACUAACCGAGGUUAUGAAUCCACACAUGAUGAAAAGUACUCCUAUGUACUGAUUUAUCAAAGCAAUCUGCAAGAUGUAUGCACAUAUCUGCUAAUUUUUUAAAACUGGGAUGUGAACGUUUUAUCUUCUGUACACAGCUUUGAAAUGCAUUCCUUCCUUCUCCCUUUUGCUGUUUUUGAAACCUCUAUCAGUCUGUAACAUGUGCUUACAUCACUAAAAGUUACUGAUCAAGAAAUUUGCACUGAAGAUUCCUGGCUUGUGAACAUUUAUACAUCGAACAGAAUCCUUAGAGCCAUGUGGUAGUGAUUCUGGAAGCACAUUUUUAGGGGAAAAGCAAAAACUUGAAAGUUGUAUAUACAUGAGUACAGUUUGUCUUGGUGAUUUUAAAAGCAAAGAAAAAUGGCAAUUUAUUUAUGCUUAAUUUUCAAAGAUUUAUACUUCAGUUCAUGAGAUGUCUAUGAUGACAGACAUCUUAAUGCUCAGGUUUGCUUCCAGCGAUGAUAUUUUUUGUUGCCAGAUCUGUCCUCCCUCCAUCCACCUUGGUAACAUAUACUAAGCUUGCUUAUACUGUGUUUCUUGGAACAUACAAGCUAGCUAUGGUGUAUUUUUUGUACCAUGUAGAAUGGAGCAAUUUUAAUACUAGCCUGUAGCCAUCUUCCAGCUUUCUAGUGACCCUAAGGUUGGAAAUGAUUACAGAGCAGCCUCCUAUGUGGUCUUGAGGGUAAAAGUCAAAGUUGCUGACUAAACUAAAGUUUAGCUCUAUUAAGUGUUGCAUAAACUGGACAGGCAUAUUGCCAUGUUUAUGGCUCGGUUGCUCAUGCUUCAGAACAGAUUGUUGGAGGUUGCUUUGGGAAUUUCUGUGUUCACAGUGUUCGGAUUUGGAACAAUACAUAGCUGGUGCGUCUGUCAUGACGCAUUCUACCACCUACUGUCUUGCUCCUACUGCACAAAUGGUAUUCCAGGAGAAGAACACCUAGUGUAUAGGCAUCAGAUGGCAGUAGUAAUUCCCAGACUUUCAUUUGAGGAGGCAGAUGAUCUUGGACUUACAUACGGAAUUAGCAUGGCUGCUCUUGCAUCAGAAUAGUGAAUAAGAUUUGGAAACUGUCAAAUGUAGUCUGGUUCUGGUUCAUAGCUAGCCAUUUUGCUGUGGGCAUUUCAUUUGUUAGGACGAUUGUGGUGGAGGCUUGGGGUGCACUUCAAUGUUUAUCGGCAGACUGUGGUAAUUGGAAACAUGCCUGAAAUAAUAACUUUUUUCCAAAGAAUGGGUGUCCAGAUAGCUUUAAGGCAUGUACGAAGGCAACAGAAGGUCACAGAAUGGUAAAUUAUAAUCUUUAAAUUAAAAAUAGUUUGUAAGUUUGAAUGGCCAGCAAUUUUACAUCAGUGUUGUGUGGGAUUGAGGGGUUAGAGACUAUACAUUACCAACCAAAACUCCAUAUCCAUCUUUCAGGUUAUAUAACUUAUUUCAGAAAAAAAAGCUAUUUAGGAAAUUCUUGAAUGGAAAAGUGUUUUCAAGCAAUUGAAAGUGUCUUCUCAAAGUGUAAACUUGGGGAUUACACAAAGUAAUGCUCUCACUUAGUUUCUGCCCUAAACUAAAGUUGAUUUUACCUCACAGAAGCAAAAGUUCUCUCAGCAUCACACUCACUAAUAUCCUUUGAGAAACCCCUUUACCCUGGAUACUUUUGUAGUGGUAAUGAUAACGGGUUGCCCUUUCUUUCCUAGGCUUCAGCUCCAAGGCAUUUGCCAUUACUGCUGACCAUUUUGCUUAUUCUAGUUAGCUGAAAACAUUGUUUUUGAGCUUUUGUGUCAGUUCGCAUUCACAUAGGAAAACAUGGAAUGGGAUAUCUGCAUCCCACUGCAGAUAUUGUCCAUAUUAUAGGCAGAUGAGUUAUUCUCACUGUUGGAGAAAGCUAUGGUCAUGGAUGAAGACCUGUGAUCCUCUUUGCUCCUGUAUGAGUCAGGGACAGACAUACACACAUACAUUAUGUAUAGAUAUGAUAAAGAUUACAGAUUAGGAUCACUAUUCUAAAUGACUUGUUUCAUUUCCUUCCAUGUGACACAUGCUAAAGAACCCUAACACUAGUGCAAAUCCUGAAGUUACAUCCUGGAAGCAUACACUGUCUCUGUGAUAGGGAAAAUGUGGCCUUCUACUUUACUGGAGUUUGUAAGGGCACAAUAUAUAUGCUUAAGAGGGCACUCUACUGGCUAUUUUUUGUAAUUUUCUUGUGCCUUCUGCCUGGUAAGUCAAACCACAUCUGGUUGGUGGACUGGAGCCUCUAGGUAUGUCUGGCAACCUGGCUUUGCAACCAGAGGGAAAAAGAGGAGAACCACCAUUGCAUUAUUUGGCUGUUAUGUGCCAGAGAUGCUGCUGGGGGCACAUAUAUUAGCUGAGGGGAAAAGAGGCAGGAGGUACUUUCCCUCAUCUUCUCAGUAAUUUCAAAGGCGGUCCUGUGGUUUCUGUGUGCGCUUAAAAUGUGUCUAUCUUUUAUUUUGUGAGUACUUUAAAUCCAUUUUUUAUGGUCUUGACUUUGAUUUGUGUAGAAAUCUUUUGAGUCCUGCCUUGAUAGAUCAGAGCUUUUAAUCUAAGUCUAGAUUUUAUUUGGAAAAAUCUAGAGGAUCCAAGGAGAAUAUGCUCCUUUUCCCACUAAGUAUGCUCACUCACCUUUUACAACAGCUCAGACCUUGUAGAGUAGAAAUUAUGACAAAUCUGUGCAUAGUGCAAGCUGGUGAUGAUCCAUUUUGAGGGUUUUUAAAGACCUUACUUCCAGAAAUGUAAUCUUUUUCUAUUUAAAAAUCUAAACCUUUUCUGUAAAAAUCAUGUUACUGAUGAUUUGGAAUAUGGAGUCAAUUCUUUUUUGUUGUGCUUCCCAAAUAUCUCUCAUCAUCUCUCCGAUCCACUUUUACCAAAGCACAUUCUGCUCUCUUAGCAUAUAUUUUAUUUCCAGAACCCAUGCAAGGGGAAGCUGGGGGCAGUGCUGAGUUAUACUGAGAAGAUAAAUCUGUGAGAAUCUUGACAAAUUUGCAGUAGCUGCAAGGUAGAAAUCACUACCGAGAUUAAAUUUGUGUUUGGAGACAGGAUAGAGAUUGAACCAAAAUGCAAAAAAUUAACUGAAUGACUAGAUUAACUAAUUACCAUAAUUAUCUUGCAGUCUCAUGAUUACAAUGAUGGUUGCUGAAAGGUAGUUAGAAAUCAUAGGGUUCAGAGUGGGAUCUCAUAGGAUCUCCCUUUGAAAUUCCUGCUAUGCCUGUGAGAUAUCUGAUACUGACUUCCAUUGGUAGUAUAAAUUGAAUGUCCUAAUAUGUACAUUUCCAUUUUCUACUAAAAUAAAUUUGGACAUGCAGUGAGCCACUCUGAUUACUAGCUAGUGCCAAGCAAAAUGAAUGUUAUAGUGUGAGCAGCUAUGUUUUCUUGGAUGUUUUUUCUUCUUUUCAUUUACAUAUAAGUGAUGAAUUGUUCCAAAAUAGUAACAGCAAGACUUGGAUUUUUUUUUUUUUUUUUUUUUUUUGUGGUAAUAGAUCUGUUCAAUACAUCUUCAGUAAAAUCCACUUUCAAAAAGCUUCUCAUUUCUUUUCCAUCGCUUCCCUGUGAAGGGAUUGCAUUUAAUGCCAUAGGCUGGGCCAUCUGUACAGUAUGAUUAUGAAAUGAUGAAUGUCUUUCGCUGUGUGAGCUUCUACUUGACAAAUAGUGUACAGUCAUUAAUUCGCCCCAGCUCCUUUACCAGUCAUCCAAAUUUAGCAAGGACAGUACUCACUAUUGUCAUAUCUUUCUGCAGAGCAUACAGAUCAGUCUGGAUUGGAGCGGGUUAAUGACUAGCUCAAACUCUGUAAUAUCCUAAUUUUACAGCAGAAAUAUGACCUAACAGAAACAGCCAGUAAUUCACUUUCCCUGACUGCAGAGGACUUGGUCUUCCAGAUCCAUAUAAACUUAAUCCCAUCUUUACCAUUAAACACUGAGCUCUACCUUAUCUCCAAUGAAGUCAGUGAAACAGUGUUCAGGGCUUGGAGUAUAAGCUCUUUGCUGAACUGGAGCCUUUGGUUUGACCUUAUAAAAGGAUUCAGACCCUUAUAUUUACACAAGGCUUUCUUCAGUCUUUCAUAUCUCAAGGUUUAGACUAUUUUUUCUAAAUGCUGUUUAUUCAGGGUUUUUUUUAUAGUCUUUGGUAGGAGUUGAGUAUAUUGUUUUUAAGAGGAACUGGAGAACUGAUUCUCAUUUUGGUUGAGUGUCUGGAAUGAAAGCUCCGCAAGCAUAGGCUGCCUUCAAGAUAAACAUUAUGUUUUGGCUUUUGCCUGAAAAGCAACACCAUUUGAAUGCCUUUUCAGCUGUUGUCCUCAAUUGUAGUUCCAGCAUGAAGAGGAAAUGCGGUGAUAUGAAAAGAACUGAAAAGGUACUAAAAACAUUAGUAUUUUAGAAUUCUAAGUUCUAAUAUUUUGUUUGAGUGUGGGACAAAUAUUUACAAAGGGCAUUGUUGUAAAUAAUCAUUGUUGAUGUGUUUCCUGCAGAUGAGACAAAGAUUCAUGGGAGCAUUCUUUUUUCUCUAAUUCCUUUUUGAGUGAUCUUCUAUUAAAAUAUUAUCUUUCUGCUGAAAUCUGUACAAGUCUCACAUUAAACUAAAUUAAUGUCACUACACAUCAUAAAAACAAAAUUAUACAAAAGAAAAGGUAAUAAUCCGUGACUAAGGACAAAUGUGGGGCAUUUAUAUAUGCAUCACAAACAACUGACAAUGUCAAUCUCCAAUACACAAUGUUAAGAAAUCCUGACCCAGAGUCAUCUCUAGUGUCUAAUUACUCUGCACACAGCUCUUGUUUUUAUCUUCUCUGCUAAAUAAGUUCCUGCAUGGGCAGCCAGAGGAAGUGGUGAACCACCCCCACGGAAGACUUUAUAUUUGGUUUUAAGAAUAGUUUUUUACAAGCUUGCUGUGGUUUCUUAAGCAUCUACUGCUAAUAUUUUACCUUUUCUUUUCAAGUGGAAAAAAAAUCCUAAAAGUGGCAAAAAAUUAGAGUUGUUGCUAGUAUCCAAAUUAUGCAUUAGGUUUGAUAGAGUUUCUGUUAUCAGAAAAAGGAAGUGAUUUAGGCAAUUCUUUGAUAUACUCCAAGUUGCUGAUGUGAUAUUGCUAUACAAAAAUUAGUAAAAAAUCCUCUGUGUUUCCUGUUGAA